rnacentral:rRNA from 1 species
GACGAACGCUGGCGGCGUGCUUAACACAUGCAAGUCGAACGGUAAGGCCCCUUCGGGGGUACACGAGUGGCGAACGGGUGAGUAACACGUGAGCAACCUGCCCUUGACUCUGGAAUAACAGUUGGAAACAGCUGCUAAUACUGGAUAUUCAUCGUCUCCUUCCUGGGGGGUGGUGGAAAGCUCCGGCGGUCAGGGAUGGGCUCGCGGCCUAUCAGCUUGUUGGUGAGGUAAUGGCUCACCAAGGCUUCGACGGGUAGCCGGCCUGAGAGGGCGACCGGCCACACUGGGACUGAGAUACGGCCCAGACUCCUACGGGAGGCAGCAGUGGGGAAUAUUGCACAAUGGGCGAAAGCCUGAUGCAGCAACGCCGCGUGCGGGAUGACAGCCUUCGGGUUGUAAACCGCUUUCAGUUCCGACGAAGCGCAAGUGACGGUAGGAACAGAAGAAGGACCGGCCAACUACGUGC